rnacentral:lncRNA from 1 species
GGCUCAGCCCACGUGAUAGAACCUUCCUCUUGCUUCUCUAGGUUCCACGCUGGAGCUGAAAUCCCUCGCUCUCCCCACCCCCAUUCGCCAACCCCUCACCACCCUCUUAGAGAGAAGAGCCACAGCGGGCCCUCCCCCUCCCUCCUCAUUCUCUCUGCACCCCACCCCCACUCCUCCAACCACCGCCCUCCCCCUGCAUCCCCGUCGAGUAAACCAAGAGGAGCCCCCUCGCCUCCACUCCCUCUCAUCCCCGACCCCAGCCACCCUCGUGGAGCAAACCAAGGCAGGGCCCCCCUCACUCCCUCCCCAGUCCCCGCCAUCCUGGAUGAGAAACCAAGGGGAGCCCCCCACUUCAUCUUCACUCACUCCCCACAACCCCCGCUAGCUCUUCUGGUUGAGAAAACCAAGAGGCGCCCCCACCUCGCCCCACCCCCACUGCCCGUCAUCCUUGGUGAGAAAGCCAAGGGCCCCCUUCACUCCCAUCCCACUCCCCACCAUUCCGCAGUGGAAAACAGGGAGAGCCCCCUUUGCACUCCCACGCCCCCCCACCCCACCCUUCUCCCUCCCCAGUCGCUGCCCAUCCCCAUCGCCCGCCACCCCAGUGGCGAAAGCCCACGGGAGGCCGAGGCACGCACCACGGGGACCCCACGGUCGGCCAUCCCGCAGCCCGGUGCGCCCCCCAGCCCCCACACCCGCCCGGUGGCCGAGGCCGCGGCCGCGGCCGCAGGGACCCCGCCCUGGCAGGCCGGGCAGCCGGCCGGCGGGGGCCAGCCCGGGAGCGGCGGCGGCGGGGCAGGAGGGCAGCGGCUCCCCCGGGACGCGGGCCGGCGGGCGGGAGCACACACGCACGCACACGCGGAGAGAAAGCGGGCUUACUGCCUGGGGAUGCUCGCCCGCGCAGCUGUCUCGGCGACGGCCGCUGCCUGCACCGAGGCCGAGGCGCGGCGGCGGCGGCGGCUGCGGACUGAGCCCCCUCGGCCGGGCGGUGGAUGUAGGGCGCGGGAGGGGCGCGAGGGGAGGGGCGCGCGGGGGAGGCGGGGAGGGAGGGCGCGCGCGCGGGGCGGGGCGGGCGCGGCGGCCUGGGCGGGGCGGGGCGCGCGCCAGCCGGGCUCUGCCCCGGGGGCUGCGGUGCGGGGCUCGCGCGCGGGAGCCGGCCGGCCGGGGGCGGGGGCGCCACGCACCCCGCGCGGCCACGCGCCCCCGCCUCGGGAGCAGCCCGGCUGCCUGCAAGGCGCGGGCGCGCGGGGAAGGUGGCUGCGAGCUGGCGGUGGCGAGCGCUUCCCGGAGGGCCGGCUCCCGCCUGGAGGCCGAGAGGAGGGCGGGCUGUGGGCGCCCGGGGCCCCCCUCCCUCGCGCCGCAGCCUUCGAGGCCGGCAGGGAGUCACGAGUCAUUGUAGGCAGCGGCGGCCGGGGCAGGGGAGGUGGGAGCAACAAAGACAGUGGAGCGAAGGUGGCUUCUCCGGGGGCCUCGGCUAACCUGCGCACUCCCUGCAAAUCGGCCUGGGUCGGGAGCGCAUCCCGUUUCAGCCCCCGACUGCGGAGCCCCCUGGUUUGGAGCAGCGCCGAAGGACCCACCGGCCACCCUUCCCGUUAG